AUGUACAUUCCUACAAUGUCAAUGCAUUGGAUCCCGUUAGAACUCCAUAUUUAAGCACACUUGGGCUAGAGUAGUACUGGGAUGGGUGACCUCCCGAGAGGUCCUAGUGUUUUACAUG
rfam:Picea glauca, whole genome shotgun sequence.